rnacentral:rRNA from 1 species
CUACGGGCCGCUCCAGUGGGGAAUAUUGCACAAUGGAGGAAACUCUGAUGCAGCAACGCCGCGUGGAGGAUGACACUUUUCGGAGCGUAAACUCCUUUUAUAUAGGAAGAUAAUGACGGUACUAUAUGAAUAAGCACCGGCUAACUCCGUGCCAGCAGCCGCGGUAAUACGGAGGGUGCAAGCGUUACUCGGAAUCACUGGGCGUAAAGAGCGUGUAGGCGGGUUAAUAAGUCAGAAGUGAAAUCCUAUGGCUCAACCAUAGAACUGCUUUUGAAACUGUUAACCUAGAAUAUGGGAGAGGUAGAUGGAAUUUCUGGUGUAGGGGUAAAAUCCGUAGAGAUCAGAAGGAAUACCGAUUGCGAAGGCGAUCUACUGGAACAUUAUUGACGCUGAGACGCGAAAGCGUGGGGAGCAAACAGGAUUAGAUACCCUCGUAGUC